rnacentral:lncRNA from 1 species
GUGUUUUAUACUGGUGGUGUACAAUCUGUUAUGUUCUGAAGUAACUGGCAGAUGUGUGUUUUAUACUGCUGGUGUACAAUCUGUUAUGUUCUGAAGUAACUUAUAGUUGUGUGUUUUAUACUGCUGAUGUACAAUCUGUUAUGUUCUGAAGUAACUUGCAGUUGUGUGUUUUAUACUGCUGGUGUAAAUAUGUUAUGUUCUGAAGUAACCUGUAGUUUUGUACUGCUUAUGUACAUUCUUAAGUAACUUGCAGUUGUGUGUUUUAUACUGCUGGUGUACAAUCUGUUCUGUUCUGAAGCAAUUUGUAGUUGUGUGUUUUAUCCUGCUGUUGUACAAUCUGUUAUGUUCUGAAGUAAUUUGUAGUUGUGUGUUCUAUACUGCUAGUGUACAAUCUGUUAUAUCCUGAAGUAAUUUGUAGUUGUGUGUUUUAUCCUGCUGGUGUACAAUCUGUUAUGUACUGAAGUAACUUGUUAAUGUGUAUUCUAUACUGCUGGUGUACAAUCUGUUAUGUUCUGAAGUAAUUUGUAGUUGUGUGUUCUAUACUGCUAGUGUACAAUCUGUUAUAUUCUGAAGUAAUUUGUAGUUGUGUGUUUUAUCCUGCUGUUGUACAAUCUGUUAUGUUCUGAAGUAAUUUGUAGUUGUGUGUUCUAUACUGGUGGUGUACAAUCUGUUAUGUUCUAAAGUAACUUGUUGUCGUGUGUUUAUGUACAAUAUUCAAUAUUUUGAAGUACUUUGUAGUUUUAUACUGUUU